UGGGGAAUCUUGCGCAAUGGCCGAAAGGCUGACGCAGCGACGCCGCGUGUGGGAGGACGCCUUUCGGGGUGUAAACCACUGUUGCCCGGGACGAACAGCUUCUUUCGAGGAGCCUGACGGUACCGGGUGAGGAAGCACCGGCUAACUCCGUGCCAGCAGCCGCGGUAAUACGGAGGGUGCAAGCGUUGUCCGGAAUCAUUGGGCGUAAAGGGCGCGUAGGUGGCCCGGUCAGCGUGCGGUGAAAGCUCGGGGACUCAACCCCGAGUCGGCCGUGCGAACUGCCGGGCUCGAGCACUGUAGAGGCAGGCGGAAUUCCGGGUGUAGCGGUGGAAUGCGUAGAGAUCCGGAAGAACACCGGUGGCGAAGGCGGCCUGCUGGGCAGUGGCUGACACUGAGGCGCGACAGCGUGGGGAGCAAACAGGAUUAGAUACC
rnacentral:rRNA from 1 species